CAUGCCUUAGUACGGCGAGUGAAGCGGCAAAAGCUCAAAUUUGAAAUCUGGUACCUUCGGUGCCCGAGUUGUAAUUUGGAGAGGGCAACUUUGGGGCCGUUCCUUGUCUAUGUUCCUUGGAACAGGACGUCAUAGAGGGUGAGAAUCCCGUGUGGCGAGGAGUGCGGUUCUUUGUAAAGUGCCUUCGAAGAGUCGAGUUGUUUGGGAAUGCAGCUCUAAGUGGGUGGUAAAUUCCAUCUAAAGCUAAAUAUUGGCGAGAGACCGAUAGCGAACAAGUACAGUGAUGGAAAGAUGAAAAGAACUUUGAAAAGAGAGUGAAAAAGUACGUGAAAUUGUUGAAAGGGAAGGGCAUUUGAUCAGACAUGGUGUUUUGUGCCCUCUGCUCCUUGUGGGUAGGGGAAUCUCGCAUUUCACUGGGCCAGCAUCAGUUUUGGUGGCAGGAUAAAUCCAUAGGAAUGUAGCUUGCCUCGGUAAGUAUUAUAGCCUGUGGGAAUACUGCCAGCUGGGACUGAGGACUGCGACGUAAGUCAAGGAUGCUGGCAUAAUGGUUAUAUGCCGCCCGUCU
rnacentral:rRNA from 1 species